rnacentral:tRNA from 1 species
GCUUGGCUCAGUGGAUAGAGUGUUGGCCUGCGGACCAAAGGGUACUGGGUUCAAUUCCGGUCAAGCA